CUUUGGGUCCGCCCGUUUCUCUAAUCAAGUUGUAACACUCGCUGCUGUGGUCCACAGCUUCAUUCCUUGAAGCCCGUGAGACACGAACGCUUCCAUUGAGAAAAACCUUCCAUCAGAAGAAGACUUCUCGUCUCAGUGGGACUGCUGAGUUGAAUGGCCCUAUACAUCAAAAGGUGAAGCUGGGUCAUGAAGGUCAUGAAGGCCCUCAGUGUGCAGCCUCUGUAAACCUGCUAAAACUAUUCUAUGAAAAUGAACAGGACUAUUCUUCCUCAAACAAAGAGAUCGUGUGAUGAAGACUCACCAGAGCUGUUCUCUAUAAGCUUGAAGAGCAAUGGUAUCAGGGAGGGCCCCAUGAUGACAUCUCUGGGCUGGGGAGGCAAAACAUAUGAAUAUACUGGACCAAUCAAAUGAUAGGCUUCAUACAACUUGGACAACAUAGAUAUUUCAGAGUUCAGCUCACACAUCACUGCACCCAUGUUGAGGAAGGCAUAUAGAAGGAAUGUCUAACACAUUUUAUUAAUUGGGUGGAAAGAACUUAGAGGCCGAGGAUAUCCAGGAUGCACAUGUUGCCAGCAGCUACUAUCAAAGUUUAAGUGGGAUAUAAGUGUCAUGGGGAGGAUCUGAAAAUGGACUCCAUAGAAAGAGACUCUGAGAUGAAAGACACAAAACUGAGAACAUGCUUGAUGAAGAAACACUUGAUGAAGUCUUUCAAAAGUCAGGAACAAGAAAUAGACACAAUGAACACUAGUAACAAACAUCAGACAGCAGGUAUGUAAGAUAAAACCACAAAGAUGUAUAAAAAUUGAAAAGGAAGAAUUAGUAUCUUAACAACAAAUUCACAUAUAAAAUAUUAGAUUAUAUAUAUACACACACAUAUACACACACAUAUACAUAUAUAUAUUUAGAAGGUUGGGGAAUUUUAUUGCUCG
rnacentral:lncRNA from 10 species